ACAUUUUCUUAAUAUCACAGGCAUUUUGUCAAGCUCUUCAAGAAAUGGAUGGCAAAAAUUUCAAGAGUUUUUGUAAGAUGUUCUUUGAAUCUGCCAAAAAGUCUGUGAUAGCUUCAUGACAUAGGGAGAAAGCUUAAAGCCAAGUUAAUCUUACUCUGGCUAUCUAAGAACAUUACAAGGCCUCGGAGCCAAUCCUUUUAGACUUCAAUGCAAGCCUGUAAAUAGAAAGUUAUUUUAAAGCAUUGUACGGUGAAGAAGUCGUAACCAGGGACCUGCCUGCAAUCAUCGAUUGAUGUGAAUAUUUUUGUAAGGAGUGCAUCUCUGGCCUUUGCUGCAAAGUAUGAUGGACGUUUUACCAAUGUCAAGUUCAUCGUGAGUCAAGGACGAAGAGUGAGGCCUUGCGUGAGGAUUGUGUGGACUAUGACGAUGGCAGGUGAUGACUCACUGAUUGGCUUUGAGUCAUACUUGAGGCGAAACCACAGGGUUCGCACAUGUUCAUCACUCCUGCUGACAAGUCAUGGUGAAUCAGACGGGUCAUGAUGCAUAUUAAUACAUAUAUGCAUGAAUCUUUUCACUCCUUUCAUAUGAACCAUGAAUGUUGCUGCCGAUUUCAGAAAUGAUGAUUCUGUAUUAGUAUAAUUCUCUUUAAUGAAUACCAAAUGGCUUCUUUUUUUUUAUAUGGUGAUUAUUUUAUUGCACACCUCAUUGUCUCAGAGAAAUAAAGUAGAAAUAACAAAUUUAAAAAUGGCAAUCAAAGGAUUCAUGCUGAGUAGAUGACGAAUAUUAUUUGUGAACCAAUAUUUUUGUUAUAUUAUGUUCAGUACUCUUUUAUUUUCUUAUCAUUGCAUUCUUUUUAUUCUUCCUCUUAUGAGCAAUAUACUUCGUUUGCAAAUGCUAGCAUUGUGCAUGGUAAUGUUUUUACUACAUCAUUAUUGUACAUGUUAUGUUUUAUAUUAGGAAACAUAUAGGACAAGGCAUUAUUUCUUGUGUAGGAACUAUAUCAUUUGUAAACCUUGCUUUUAGAUAACAACAUACUUUUGAAUAGGUCAAAGGAAAUGACUAGUUUGUUUUUUGUUUUUUUAGUCAUUUAAUGAUUAAUUCUAUUUUAUUGCAUUCUGUUGCAAUUUCUUUCAGGUCUUAGAUCAAAUCAGCAAAAAAAAGUACUUUAUUGGAAAUGGUUUAGUUAAUUAUUGCCACUUCAUGAGAAAUAUUACUUCAAAAUCCUGGACCAGUUUCCACAAUGAAUAACAGUUAAAUGGAUCGCAGUUGAAAAAAAACCGACCCUUGUAUUCAUCUGUUUACAUACUUGGGUUAAUCAGAAUAUGAAUUGCUUGACAAGUGGUUGCUAGAUUGGGCAAAUGUAAAUGCCUUUAAGAAGACUUGCUGAAGUAAUUGAUCUUAACAAACAAAUACAGUCAUAUAUGUCGUAGUCACAAAGGCCUAUGAAUGGGGUCUAGGCUAGCCUUGGCCCAAGUCAUAUGUGCAAAGUCUACGGGGGAAGCUUUCUGGCUGCUUUUUGAUUUGGAAUUAUGGUCUCGACUCCAUCCUGGGGAAAAUAAUUUUUUAUUCACACAUGGAAUUUUCAUGUCUCAGAAAGUUGAAUUAUAGUUGUAACAUGGACCUACUCAUCCAAUAUGCAGGGAAAAUGGAGUAAAAAAAGUAUUUUUUAAGCUCUCUCAGUCGUAGUAUUAUGUUACUUGCCAAUGCCAUGUGUAUUUUUUUUUCAACGUAAAAUCAUGAAAUAUAUAUGUUAUAUAUUCAAUAUUGACGAUCAUCUUAUGAGAUGCUAAGAGGCAAAAUGAUAAUAAAGUAUUUGAUUUUUGGAUCCACAGUAUGGUAAAAUAAUUUGACAACCAAUUUUAUUUAUUCUUGCAUUCAAGAUAUUUUUGGUUGUGGUCUUUUGCUAUUGAUAUCUGAAAAAGAAAGUAAACAAAUUAUACAUUUUCUUCAAUGAUUUGAUUAUAUGUAAACAUUAAAGGUAUGUAUUAUGAAGACAAUGCAAAAUGUAUUUGUAUAUCUCUUUAGAAUUUUCAUUUUUUAUUAUAUUUUUUUUCAAUAUGAGAAACACAUAAUGACAGCUAAGGGAAAUUGGUCAUACCUCAUUCUGACGUCUGUCUAUCCACUCUUUGUUUACGCUGCCCAUUUAUUCUUCCUUAAUUGACAUCUGAAAUCAGUGCAAAUAAUGGACUUAUAUUGUAAUACCUUUCCUGUUUUUAAGAAAAAAUAUUCUUCAUUGUGUCACAGUCCAUAGAGCAGGGGUUUCAGAUUCUGGUGACCUGGGUUUGAUUCUCAUUUGGUGCUCUAGUGCCCUUUGGUGUAUAAAGGCAGUUCUCCUCAUCACCAGGGCCGUCGGAGAGGACCCUAAGCUGUUGGUCCUCUCGUUGCUUGCUUACAAGCAUUCAUGCUUUCUAUUAUGCUUUUCUCACUCCCCACCAAUUUCCCGGGGUUAAGCUUAGGCCACUUCGUGUUCACACUACGUUUUAGAAAAGUGGGCUAGCAUGGUAAUCAGUAAAUAGUACGGACCUAUCUGGCCCUGCAAACAAGCAGGGUUAGCCGGCUAAUUGCGGUGCUAGCACCACAAUUGCGUUGCUGAGAGAUGCAGUGUGAAACAAAACCGGGCUAAGGAAGAGUGGGGCUAAGCAUUAGCCAAUCACAGAAGUGGAACUUGCACGUUAAUCACGCUCUGUGUGGCAAAAUUAUCAAUAUUCAUGAGCUGUGUGAUAGUCCGAGGUUCAGGCAUUAACCCCCGCUAAGCAAAUAUUAUUGGGUUAAGAAAGACAGUGUG